rnacentral:pre_miRNA from 1 species
UUAAUGCUAUCGUUGAUGGGGUUCCGUGCAUUGCUCAGUGGCCCUGCCAACGUAGCAUUGUCC